rnacentral:rRNA from 1 species
GAUGAACGCUGGCGGCGUGCCUAAUACAUGCAAGUCGAGCGAACGGACGAGAAGCUUGCUGCUCUGAUGUUAGCGGAGGACGGGUGAGUAACACGUGGAUAACCUACCUAUAAGACUGGGAUAACUUCGGGAAACCGGCGCUAAUACCGGAUGAUAUUUUGAACCGCAUGGUUCAAAAGUGAAAGACGGUCUUGCUGUCACGUAUAGAUGGAUCCGCGCUGCAUUAGCUAGUUGGUAAGGUAACGGCUUACCAAGGCAACGAGGCAUAGCCGACCUGUGAGAGUGAUCGGCCACAUUGGAGCGGGGCCACGCUCCAUACUCCUACGGUAGGCAGCAGUAGGGAAUCUUCCGCAGUGGGCGAAAGCCUGACGGAGCAACGCCGCGUGAGUGAUGAAGGUCUUCGGAUCGUAAAACUCUGUUAUUAGGGAAGAACAUAUGUGUAAGUAACUGUGCACAUCUUGACGGUACCUAAUCAGAAAGCCACGGCUAACUACGUG